UAGAGAAAUAUUUAGUAAUAACUAAUAAUAUUAGUAUAUAAUGUAGUAACAGAGCCCAUUUCUCAAAAGUUGACAACUUUUUUUAGGGGUAGGUUAAUAAAAAAUAGAUCAUUUUUUAUUUAAAUUGGGAGAUAUAUUGGAUCCUUACUCUCAAUAUAUAUUAUUAUAUAAGUGUGUACAACAUGGGAUAUCUAUUUGUACAAGUUGUAACUUAAGCAGUUUGUAAAUUACAAUUAGUACGUCUCAUAACAUCCUAAUUGCAAUUUGAUAAUUUAUAUCAAAAUAGUAAAAAAAUAUUGCAUUAUCCUCACCAAAAUUACUCUAAAUUCUUCAAUUCAUUUUUUGGUAGCAACUUGUACAGUUUACAUAUUACCGCUCAACUCUCCUCCUUGCUUUGCUUUUUAUUUAACACUAACAGGAGCUGCUUCUCGAAGUUGCCGUCUCUCAGCCUCUGCUUAGUCCUCCUCAGGAUCUGUUUGGCCUUGGAGAACAAACGUUCACACCAUUGGGGAGAAGCACAAAAUUGUAUCUUUGAAAUACCUUUUUGGUCCUCCAGUAGGCCAAAAUAAUUUCCAGACCUUCAAAGUCAUCCUCUAGGUAUCUUUGCAUUUCCUGUUUGAUGGUAUCCAUCUAUUUGGGACGUUUGGGGAAGAAAUUACUCUUCAGUAUUUACAGUGCCAAAAAUUCUUAUUUAUAAAUUUCGGCCGAAAUCAGCUCCCACGACAUAUAUGUAUAAGGAUCGAAACAAAGUCAAGCCUGAUGUCAUAAAGUUCGAGAAGAAAAUCAAGACAAAGUGCAUUAGACUCAAGACCAAAACUGUGAUGUGUCGAGACCGAGUCGAGACCAAAACCAUAAAAAUGUCAAGAACCACAGCACUAUUACAUGAUACAAAUUGAUCGGAUUGCAUUUUUUUUUCUUGCUAUUUCUGUUGC
rnacentral:lncRNA from 1 species